UAUGUAUAUAUAUAUAUAUGUAUAUAUGAGAGCGAAUUAUAUGUUAAUUAAAACGUCAUGCUAAAUUGCAAUAAUCAAGAUGUGUAAUUAUGUCGACUUUUGGCUCGAUGAACAGGACUUUACGAGAACGGCUAGUGUACAUUGAUAAUGUUUAGUUUAUCGAUCGAUCUAUCGAUCAUCAGGACGAGUUAUAACGUGAUCGAAUGACGAACGUAUAGCCUUUGUUGUUUUAUCGUCAACGACAUUUGUGUGAUUUUUUCUUGUGUAUCAUUGAUUCGAGGAACAUGUGUCGCGUGUGAUAUGUUUACCCUAGUUAUUUAAUUUAACGUCAUUCAGUGAUGUAUCGAAGGAUUCAAGGAUCAUCGAGGGAAUGAACUUGACUUAUCUCGACUUGUCUCGAUCCAGCUUCGGCAAAAGAAUGAGUGGAAGCAGCGACGAAGGCGAGUCGAUAUCAGGAACGACAACGGGAAGUACCACAGGAGGAGGUGGUGG